rnacentral:rRNA from 1 species
GAUAAACGCUGGCGGCGUGCCUAAUGCAUGCAAGUCGAACGGGAGCCCCUUCGGGGGUCGACCGUGGCGGACGGGGGAGGAACACGUAGCUAACCUGCCCAGAUGUGGGGGAUAUGCGCUGGAAACGGCGUGCAAUACCGCAUGUGCCCGUUGACAGGGAGGUUGAUGAGGAAAGCCUUAGGGUGUAUCUGGAGGGGGGUGCGGCCGAUGAGCUAGUUGGUGGGGUAAGAGCCUACCAAGGCGAUGAUCGGUAGCUGGUCUGAGAGGACGAUCAGCCACACGGGGACUGAGACACGGCCCCGACUCCUACGGGAGGCAGCAGCAAGGAAUUUUCCACAAUGGGCGCAAGGCUGAUGGAGCAACGCCGCGUGGGGGAUGACGCAUUUCGGUGUGUAAACCCCUUUUCGAGAGGACGAAGGCAAUGACGGUACUCUCGGAAGAAGGACCGGCUAACUACGUGCCAGCAGCCGCAGUAACAC